UACAGAGGGUGCGAGCGUUGUCCGGAAUCACUGGGCGUAAAGGGCGCGUAGGCGGCUCGGCACGUCCGUUGUGAAAUCUCCCGGCUUAACUGGGAGGGGUCGCUCGAUACUGGCGAGCUCGAGGCAGGUAGGGGGAAGCGGAAUUCCCGGUGUAGUGGUGGAAUGCGUAGAUAUCGGGAGGAACACCAGUGGCGAAGGCGGCUUCCUGGACCUGUUCUGACACUGAGGAGCGAAAGCGUGGGGAGCGAUCCGG
rnacentral:rRNA from 1 species